GACGAACCGUGCGAACGUUGUUCGGAAUCACUGGGCUUAAAGGGCGCGUAGGCGGGUGUGCAAGUCUGUGGUGAAAGCCUCCAGCUUAACUGGAGAAGUGCCGUGGAUACUGCACAUCUUGAGGAGGGUAGGGGCAUCUGGAACGGUCAGUGGAGCGGUGAAAUGCGUUGAUAUCGACCGGAACUCCGGUGGCGAAGGCGAGGUGCCUGGACCCUUUCUGACGCUGAGGCGCGAAAAGCCAGGGGAGCAAACGGG
rnacentral:rRNA from 1 species